rnacentral:rRNA from 1 species
CAGACAACCAGGAUGUUGGCUUAGAAGCAGCCACUCAUUUAAAGAGUGCGUAAUAGCUCACUGGUCGAGUGAUUCUGCGCCGAAAAUUUCCGGGGCUAAAACUUACUACCGAAGCUACGGCAUCAUUAUGAUGGGUAGGGGAGCUUUCUAUGCGGCUUGAAGCAUGACCGUAAGGACAUGUGGACUGCAUAGAAGUGAGAAUGUUGGCAUGAGUAGCGAGAUGUGGGUGAGAAUCCCACAGGCCGUAAACCCAAGGUUUCCAGGGGAAGGUUCGUCCGCCCUGGGUUAGUCAGGACCUAAGCCGAGGCCGAAAGGCGUAGGUGAUGGACAACAGGUUGAUAUUCCUGUACCACCAAUAACCGUUUGAGAAAUGGGAUGACACAGUAGGAUAAGCUAACCGCACUGUUGGUUAUGUGCGGGCAAGUAUUGAGGCAGUUCCGAUAGGCAAAUCCGUCGGAACAAUGCUGGGGUACGAUGCGGAGCGAAAUUUAGUAGCGAAGUAGCUGAUUUCACACUGUCGAGAAAAAGUCUCUAUCGAGGUUAAAGGUGCCUGUACCGCAAACCGACACAGGUGGGUGAGGAGAGUAUCCUAAGGCCAGCGAGAGAACUGUUGUUAAGGAACUCGGCAAAAUGACCCCGUAACUUCGGGAGAAGGGGUGCCUUCGAAAAGAAGGCCGCAGAGAAUAGGCUCCAAGCGACUGUUUUACCAAAAACAUAGGUUUCUGCUAAGUCGCAAGACGAUGUAUAGGAGCUGACGCCUGCCCGGUGCUGGAAGGUUAAUGGGAUCUGUUAGAGCAAUCGAAGCAGUGAACUUAAGAGCCAGUAAACGGCGGCCGUAACUAUAACGGUCUUAAGGUAGCGAAAUUCCUCGUCGGGUAAGUUCCGACCCGCACGAAAGGCGUAACGAUUUGGGCACUGUCUCAACAACAGACUCGGUGAAAUUGUAAUACCGGUGAAGAUGCCGGUUACCUGCGACAGGACGGAAAGACCCCAUGGAGCUUUACUGUAGCUUGACAUUGAGUCUCGGUGCUACAUGUACAGGAUAGGUGGGAGACUAUGAAGCAUGGACGUCAGUUAAUAAUGGCUAGCUUCAGAGUACAGCUAUAAGCAGAGUUCUCGAUGGGGUCUUGGGACACUGUCAGGUGGACAGUUUGCCUGGUGCGGUCGCCUCCCAAAAAGUAACGGAGGCGCUCAAAGGUUCUCUUCAGUACGGUCGGAAAUCGUACGAAGAGUGUAAAGGCAAAUGAGAGCUUGAUUGCAAGACAUACAGGUCGAGCAAGGACGAAAGUCGGACUUAGUGAUCCCGGUGGUUCCGCAUGGAAGGGCCAUCGCUCAACGGAUAAAAGCUACCCUGGGGAUACCAGGCUGAUCUCCCCCAAGAGUCCACAUCGACGGGGAGGUUUGGCACCUCGAUGUCGGCUCAUCACAUCCUGGGGCUGUAGUAGGUCCCAAGGGUUGGGCUGUUCGCCCAUUAAAGUGGUACGCGAGCUGGGUUCAGAACGUCGUGAGACAGUUCGGUCCCUAUCCGUCGCAGGCGUAGGAAAUUUGAGGAGACCUGUCCUUAGUACGAGAGGACCGGGAUGGACGUACCGCUGGUGUACCAGUUGUUCUGCCAAGGGCAUGGCUGGGUAGCUAAGUACGGAAAGGAUAAGCGCUGAAAGCAUCUAAGCGCGAAGCCCACUUCAAGAUAAGAUUUCCCACCGCAAGGUUAAGAUCCCAGGAAGACUACCUGGUUGAUAGGUCAGAGGUGUAAGUGCAGUAAUGUAUUUAGCUUACUGAUACUAAUAGAUCGAGGACUUGACCAA